AACAUGAUAGCUUCUAAGGCAGAGAAACUGUAAAUUUCUUCAUGAAAGGUGGAAGACCUUUCUUAUGUUA
rnacentral:tRNA from 1 species